rnacentral:tRNA from 1 species
GCCUGGGUGGCUCAGUCGGUUAAGCAUCUGACUUCGGCUCAGGUCAUGAUCUCGCGGUCCGUGAGAUCGAGCCCCACGUCAGGCU